UCUUUGGUAGUAUAGUGGUUAGUAUACCCGCCUGUCAUCGAUCCUCAGAUCAUGUCUGCCCGCGGGUGACCGGGGUUCAAUUCCCCGCCAGAGAG